UACAGAGGUCUCAAGCGUUGUUCGGAUUCAUUGGGCGUAAAGGGUGUGUAGGUGGCGCGCUAAGUCGGGUGUGAAAUUUCGGAGCUUAACUCCGAAACUGCAUUCGAUACUGGCGUGCUUGAGGACUGGAGAGGAGACUGGAAUUUACGGUGUAGCAGUGAAAUGCGUAGAUAUCGUAAGGAAGACCAGUGGCGAAGGCGGGUCUCUGGACAGUUCCUGACACUGAGACACGAAGGCCAGGGGAGCGAACGGG
rnacentral:rRNA from 1 species